CUACGGGUGGCACCAGUGGGGAAUAUUGCACAAUGGAGGAAACUCUGAUGCAGCAACGCCGCGUGGAGGAUGACACUUUUCGGAGCGUAAACUCCUUUUAUAUAGGAAGAAGAUGACGGUACUAUAUGAAUAAGCGCCGGCUAACUCCGUGCCAGCAGCCGCGGUAAUACGGAGGGCGCAAGCGUUACUCGGAAUCACUGGGCGUAAAGAGCGUGUAGGCGGAUUAAAAAGUCAGAAGUGAAAUCCUAUAGCUUAACCAUAGAACUGCUUCUGAAACUCUUAAUCUAGAAUAUGGGAGAGGUAGAUGGAAUCUCUGGUGUAGGGGUAAAAUCCGUAGAGAUCAGAAGGAAUACCGAUUGCGAAGGCGAUCUACUAGAACAUUAUUGACGCUGAGACGCGAAAGCGUGGGGAGCAAACAGGAUUAGAUACCCCAGUAGUC
rnacentral:rRNA from 1 species